rnacentral:rRNA from 1 species
GCGGAGGAAAAGAAACUAACAAGGAUUCCCCUAGUAACGGCGAGUGAAGCGGGAAGAGCUCAAAUUUGAAAUCUGGUGGCCUCAGGUCAUCCGAGUUGUAAUCUAUAGAAACGUUUUCCGUGCUGGCUCAUGUACAAGUCCCUUGGAACAGGGCGUCAUAGAGGGUGAGAAUCCCGUCCUUGACAUGAACUACCAGUGCUCUGUGAUACGUUUUCAACGAGUCGAGUUGUUUGGGAAUGCAGCUCAAAAUGGGUGGUAAAUUCCAUCUAAAGCUAAAUAUUGGCGAGAGACCGAUAGCGAACAAGUACCGUGAGGGAAAGAUGAAAAGCACUUUGGAAAGAGAGUUAAACAGUAUGUGAAAUUGUUAAAAGGGAAACGAUUGAAGUCAGUCGUGCUCUUUGGAUUCAGCCGGUUCUGCCGGUGUACUUCCAUUGAGUGGGGUCAACAUCAGUUUUGAUCGCUGGAUAAAGGCAGGAAGAAUGUAGCACCUCCGGGUGAACUUAUAGCUUUCUGUCACAUACAGUGGUUGGGACUGAGGAACGCAGCAUGCCUUUAUGGCCGGGAUUCGUCCACGUACAUGCUUAGGAUGUUGACAUAAUGGCUUUAAACGACCCGUCU